CAGCACCUCAAGUGGUCAGGAUGAUUAUUGGGCCUAAAGCAUCCGUAGCCGGCGCUGUAAGUUUUCGGUUAAAUCUGUACGCUCAACGUACAGGCUGCCGGGAAUACUGCAGCGCUAGGGAGUGGGAGAGGUAGACGGUACUCGGUAGGAAGGGGUAAAAUCCUUUGAUCUAUCGAUGACCACCUGUGGCGAAGGCGGUCUACCAGAACACGUCCGACGGUGAGGGAUGAAAGCUGGGGGAGCAAACCGGAUUAGAGACCCGAGUAGUCC
rnacentral:rRNA from 1 species